rnacentral:rRNA from 1 species
AGCGAACGCUGGCGGCAGGCCUAACACAUGCAAGUCGAACGGACUCUUCGGAGUUAGUGGCGGACGGGUGAGUAACACGUGGGAACGUGCCUUUUGGUUCGGAAUAAGCUCGGGAAACUGGGUCUAAUACCGAAUGUGCCCUUCGGGGAAAGGAUUAUCGCCAUUAGAGCGGCCCGCGUCUGAUUAGCUAGUUGGUGGUGUAAUGGACCACCAAGGCGACGAUCAGUAGCUGGUCUGAGAGGAUGACCAGCCAC